rnacentral:rRNA from 1 species
GAUGAACGCUGGCGGCGUGCCUAAUACAUGCAAGUCGAGCGAACGGACGAGAAGCUUGCUUCUCUGAUGUUAGCGGCGGACGGGUGAGUAACACGUGGAUAACCUACCUAUAAGACUGGGAUAACUUCGGGAAACCGGAGCUAAUACCGGAUAAUAUUUUGAACCGCAUGGUUCAAAAGUGAAAGACGGUCUUGCUGUCACUUAUAGAUGGAUCCGCGCUGCAUUAGCUAGUUGGUAAGGUAACGGCUUACCAAGGCAACGAUGCAUAGCCGACCUGAGAGGGUGGUGGACCACAGGGAGAGGAGGACACGGCCAGGCCUCCGACGGGGGGCGGCAGAAGGGAGUCUUCCGGAAGGGGGGAAGGCCGGCGGGUGCACCGCCGCGGGGGGGAGGAGGGUGUUCGGAUGGUAAAACUCUUUUUUGGGGAAAAAAGAUAGGUUUAAGUACUUGUGCACAUCUUGACGGUACCUAAAAAAAAAGCCACGGCUAACUACGUG